rnacentral:rRNA from 1 species
UACGUAGGGUGCGAGCGUUAAUCGGAAUUACUGGGCGUAAAGCGUGCGCAGGCUGUUCUGUAAGUCAGAUGUGAAAUCCCCGAGCUCAACUUGGGAACUGCGUUUGAAACUACAGGACUAGAAUAUGUCAGAGGGGGGUAGAAUUCCACGUGUAGCAGUGAAAUGCGUAGAUAUGUGGAGGAACACCGAUGGCGAAGGCAGCCCCCUGGGUCAAGAUUGACGCUCAUGCACGAAAGCGUGGGGAGCAAACAGG